GAUGAAGAACGUAGCGAAAUGCGAUAAGUAAUGUGAAUUGCAGAAUUCAGUGAAUCAUCGAGUCUUUGAACGCACAUUGCGCCCCCUGGUAUUCCGGGGGGCAUGCCUGUCCGAGCGUCAUUGCCGCCCUCAAGCACGGCUUGUGUGUUGGGCCCCCGCCCCCCGGCUUCGGGGGGCGGGCCCGAAAGGCAGCGGCGGCACCGCGUCCGGUCCUCGAGCGUAUGGGGCUUCGUCACCCGCUCUGUAGGCCCGGCCGGCGCCCGCCGGCGACCCCAAUCAAUCUUUCCAGGUUGACCUCGGAUCAGGUAGGGAUACUCGCUGAACUUAAGCAUAUCAAUAAGCGGAGGA
rnacentral:misc_RNA from 1 species